rnacentral:misc_RNA from 1 species
GGCAUCGAACUGUCGCCUCGCGCCCCUCGUCAGUUUACGCAUCAAGAUUGGCUUGUGCGAAAUGUCGGGUUCCUGUGUUGCCUACCUAUCUCGAAGGAAUGUUGCCUCUCGUUGCUAUUUCCUCCUCCAGCCCCCCGCGGGUCGGAGGAGGACGUCGUAGCACUGCUUGUGUCCCGAUCAAGCCGCACAUCGUUGUGAGAUUGUGACGGUCCACGAGUUGCUGCUCGAUUUCUCGGAUGCGGAACGCUAAGCGGGCGCGGAGUCUUCGGCCUCCGAUCGUCCAACUCGAAGCCUUUGUCGCUUGAUGCGUACGACUGCCGUCGCCGCUGCGGGCUUUCGACCUCCAAGGUCGCUGGUCUCGCACGGCGUCGGCGUCGAAGAGGAAUGCUACCUGGUU